AUCUGCACACACUCUGGCACUGAAUAACGUUAAAAAGAAAAAAAAAUCCGACAAACUUUUGAAGCGGAAUAUUUUUGUUAUUGUUGUUUUCGUAAGAGGUUCUGAGAGUGUCUAAGUUUGCAUGCAUGAAACAGUACCUUCCAAGUCGGUCUUGCGGUUGGCUAAAGCUCUUCACAUUUUCUAUUGAAAAAUUAACUGUCUCUACCACAGAGUUUUCUAUUGCACCCAAUGGCCCCUUGGCUAACUCAACAAUUCUUUUAGUAGAAGCAACAAGAAGGCUAGAAGAAAAUGGACAUGCAAGAGCUGUAAGAAAGCAUCAGCUGUGGCAAAGGAAAAGGAAAGCUGCGUCUCUGCUCAAAAGGAUGCCAGACCCUGACAAGGGCCAGAUCUACAAAUGCAAUGAAUGGACUCUGCCAAGGUGAGCUGGCUAGAAAGCAGCUGAUCGGAGGCUAGAAGACUUUAUGCAGCUAACAUUCAUUUAGAGAUGGACAAGGAGGUUUCAUUCUCACAAAACACUGAGUAUAAGAUGGACAGCACUUCGUAACAGCGGUUCCUCUGACAAACCUUAGAGUGAGAAGAACAUCUUUGUCGACCUUGGUACAACUGAGAUCCUCAGGAAAUCUCAGUUCUGAGAAAACAGGAGGUCUCCAAGCUGCAGUUUCAGGGUGUCAAGCACAAGAAUUGAUCUACUGAGGAAGCCAGUUAUUCUCCCUCCGCAGUCAACAAAAAGGGAGAAGAUCUCUCCAAGAGCAACCAUCCUCAUCCCCAACAUGGCUGCCUGGAAUAGCCUUGCAGGCCUCAAUCAAAAAUGACACAAGACAACAGAUGGAUGCAAGUACACGGGGGAAACAGAAGACAAAACAUUUAUUCAUUUAGUAAGCAUCAGCCACGGUGCACCAGCUGCUCAGAAGAAUCACUCACUUAUUCCUGCGGUGAUCACAUGUGACACGUUGACACGUAGGGCCUGACAGGUCAACCUUCCUGAGGAGUGGUACUGCACUCGUGUGCCGCAAGGGAAGGUCCUGGACUCAGAUGCAAGUCAUUUGUUUUUUCUUCAGAUGGAAAACUCAACUUCCUCUUAUGAACUCCUCAGCUGCUAACAACUGCAAAGAGUGAUAGAGCACAAGUCUUCUUCUAACCAAGAGGUUUUGCUGAGAGUGAUGCUUCAGGUCUUUGGUAUCUGCUCGGUGGCAUGGAAGACAUCCCAUUUUAGAUUGCCAUGCACAUCCCAGAAAAGUGGCAUAACUACCAAGCUUUGUUUGGGGUGGGCUGGGGGACAAGAAAGGAGAAGAAAGCAGAGGAGCUGGAGUAAGAUACUGUCCAACUCUAAAUGUUCUCCUCAAAAUGCCUCACACCGUAGCCCAGUAAUUUGAAGACUCCUCUCUGAGUUGAGUUGAUGAGAAUUAAGGUCUUAAUACUUUCUGUUCCUCCUGCCAGCAGGGGCUAUGCCCAGUGGAUAACUGGUUCUACAGGUACUCCGACCAGAAAUUCAUUUCACUUUACUGUAGAUAUGCUGUUGUUGAGAGCUUUUUUUCACAAACUGAUUUUUUCUGUUUGAAAAAUGGUUCCUCCUAAACAUUCCUAGCCAGCUCCACUCUAUAUUUGCUAAAGACGUGACUUCAAAUACAUUUUUGCAUUGUUAUUGUUGUCUUCCUUUUUUUUUUUUUUUUUUUUUUUCUGUUGACCUUUUAUUCUGUCUGUUCCAAUGCCAGAAUUACAAAGGCCAUGUGACAUGAGUGUAACAGUGUUCCAACUAGGACAUAUUUUGAGAACAUCAGGUCCAUGGUUUCCCAGCAUCAGACAUAGCAGAUUUUUUGCUGUCCAUUUUGGUUCUUGGGUAAUUAGUCAUUCCACACAUUUUUUACAGCUGAUGAUCGUGAGCAGAAGCUUUGUCCAAGAAAUGAUCAGUUAAGCCAUGUAUUGGCUGUGUGGUCUUUGAAUGACAAUACUGCUCAGGUAUACAUUUACUGCAUUUGUGUUUUAUCUGCUAGUGCAUCUCUACUGACAUUGAAGGGCACUGUGAGCCUUUGCAGAAUGAAACUGUGCAAAGUCAUGUAUUUUGUUCUUACUGUGGAGAUAUCCUCUGCUUACAGAUUGCAUGCUGUAGUACCACAGCUGGACACUUAGUGGUCCAUGAGCAGGGGUGGGUCAUAUGGAAGAACUGGACUGGUCCUCCCCCCAACCUGAUGGGUAGCAACAUCCGUCACUCUUGCUCAUAGGUUUGGGACCAAGCUUGCAGAUAGGUGGAGUACACUGUUCUGCCUGGCAGGGCUUUAACUUGCAGAGUUAACUUUACUCAAGAGAAAAUUAUGCCAGAUCCUUGCCUUUGAAGAUUUCGGUAAACUUCUUUUUCAGGGAAAAAGUGUUGCCAACUGGGAUUUUUUGUGAGUUAUCUGCUUUUCAAAGAUCUUUGUGAGAGGGGCCUGGUUAAGGGCAUUGCUAGGGGAAACCAAUUAUAAUUUUCAAAUACGUUAGACUUAAACAAACAUUUAAUUAAACUGAGACCAGCUCUUUCAGCCAUUGCCUGUCUUCUCCUUUUUGUAGAGUUGGAAAAUUCUGGGAAAUUCCUGAUGCUACACAUUUUUUAACAGUGUCAGCAAACUCUUCAAACCAAUUUUCUGUACUUCCUUUUCCUUUCUCUUACUUCUCUCCUACUCCUUCUCGGAGACACUGUAGCCUACUUUUUAAUCUCUUAAUUUUCCAUUUUCCCUCAAUUUCUUGCAAUCUCCAAUUUCCUUCAAACUUUUUCUAUCUUCGCUCAUUACUCCCUGUUCCCUUUUCCAUGUUUUUCUUUUCCACUCCCUCUUUCCCCAGCUCAGCAGAAACUCACUCACAAACUGAGCUAUCUCCCCAGCAUCCUAGUGAUCCUAGUGACUCUAGUGAUGGAUAGAAAUAUCCUAAAUCUUAGCAGCUGUCGGUCAGAUGGGCUGACCAUCCCCUCCCUGAUUUGCAUCAUCCUUCUCCAAAGAUCCAUUCACAUUUGAUGACAGCAGAGGCUGUAUGUGAGCUGGAAAGAGGUGGAAUGAAAAAGGAAGAUGUUUUUGUCACUUACUGAGAAGCACCAAAUGGCUGCCAAGCUGCCCAGGAAAACCCGCAGGGUGUGGGGAGGCAACAGAGGAGGGGGUCACAUACUAUGUGACAUACAGCAUACAACAAUAUGUUCCUACUGAGGUACUGUAAUGCUGGUUUUAUGGUAUUGUCAGCAUUAUAGCUACAACAGAGCAUGCAACAUUAGAUGCUGAGUGUGAGUCUUUGCAGUUAUUAAAAACUAUAAAUAUCUUCUAUAAAAGUGAAGGGAAAAUAUUGACCACAUGAUGUUUUUCUUACGAAAACAUCCAACCAAUCCUAGUUUGCACCAGGUUUAAAGUUCCCCCUUCCUCCAAUGUAAUUUGAUUUCACAUUGUCUUGCUUUUUCUUUUUCUUUGCCUUUUUCUUUUUUUUCCUCAAGGACUUCCAAAGGUUAAGUGUACUUGCAUGGCAGGACAUGAUUAAGGAGCUCAAUAUUGUACUGAGAUAAAGUAAAUGUAAACAGUACUAUCAUCUUUAUUUUAUAGGGGGACAAAGAAGGUAUUGCACAGUAGCUUGUGAUGUUGGCUGAUAUUAGGUACACGUUAAUGCACUAAACUGACUAUUUUUUACAUAUCUUCAACCAUACAAGUUUAUCAGACGUGGGCAGCAAAUACAGAGGCCUACUUCUACAAACAAAUGAACUAGGCAUAACUUUAUCUGUUCCUAUAGCUUUGUGAGAGUUAUGGCAUUAUUUGCAAAAUAAAAAAUAAGAAUUAAAAUGACUCAGCAAAACUCAAAUUCUGUUAAAAAAAAUGUGACCAAAUUCUUACACACAACUCCUCUGCAGGCUUCUGCUCAGACAUGUUUUUCUCUUGCUCUAUGCCAAACAUAAAACAUGAUUUUUUUUUUUCUAUUUUAAAGUAUGCAAGUUGUUAAACAAAAUCCUGUAAACUUGGCCUGUCAACCUUAACUUCUAGGCUUUCUAACUUAUAAAUCUAGUUAGCCAUAAAUCUCAACAUGCGCUGUUCUUUUACUGUAAUUAAAGUCUUGAAGGCAUUUUGCUUUACAUCUUCAGGUAUUCUGUGAAGACCUACGACUUUUUCCACUUAUCAAUUCAUUCUCAAGUGCAGAGGGUCUUUUAAAAUUUUCACAAUGUAGAGAAGUUAUUCCAGCAAGAUUCAGCAGACUGAGGAUUCAGUGACAGUCUAAAUUAAUUUGGUUCAGGUGAGGAGGUGUUUUCAUGACAGCGAGCCUGCUUAUAAAUUCUGUUUCAGCCAUGAGCAGACUUUUUAGACUAGAGGCAUUUCAAAAGUGAAGAAAAUAUUUAGAUCCUACUGAAAAUAAACAAUUUCUUGACUUCAAGAAAAAAAUGUAAAAAUGUAUUCAAAGUAAUGGUAGAUUCUCUUCUGGUUACAGUUCUUGGAUCGAACUAGAAAGAUAAGACAUAUUAGAGAUCACACUCAAUGUCUGUCAAUUAAUGGAUUUGAUAAUGGUGCUCUGAAUUUUGGAAAGCAAAUAGUUGUUUCGUUGUAGAUUUGGUUGCAAAAGCCUUUCUCUUCAUUUUCAUACAGGCACAAAGGUUCUUAAAAAAAACAACAAAUUGAUGAUAUAUCACUAUGAUAAUAUAUGUUUGGUUAUAAAGAAAAACAAAAUACGAUACUCUUCAUGAAUCUUCGCACCACCUCUCCUAUAUAACUCCCAUCCUUUUGACAAGGAUUAAAUUCCUCUGUCUUUUAAAAUAUGAAAGGUUUAAAAACCUUAUAAAGAACAAGACACAGAGCAUAACUUCUGUUUUUCAGUUUCAAAAGUAAACUGAUCUACAAUCAGUGUGGGGAUUUUAGUCACAUUCACAGAUUGUCAAUUGAAUGAAAGUAGUCAUUUCAAUUUUCUCUGUUUUCUAGAUACCAUUAAAGUACAGAUUCAGUGUUCUGUAAAUGGAAUCAAAUUAUUUAUUAUACCUAUUAAUAUACAUAUGAAUUAUCUUGAAUUGCACACAUCGGUUAUUGAGUAGCUUAAAUGAAUCACUAAAUACAUAAUAUAUUGCAUUACUUUGCCGCCUAUGGAAAAUAAUCCAGUGCUUGACAUUUACCAAACCACAGAAAUUUGACACACUAAGCAUGUCUGAAAGCAUCUCUCCUGUCUGAUCAAAUCACUACAUGUAAAAUGUUUCCUCCUAGUUAAAAUUUUCAUAAUAUCCUAGUAGAUAUUGUAUAUGUCAUGUCCAUCAUUUGGAGGGGAUGAUUUCCAUGCAGGACAUGAACAAAAGACAUUUCUCCUGUAUUUAGUGAUAAAGGUCUUCUCACAAAAUCUACUUCUUGCUAUUAGGAUUUCACGUGUGUGAGUAAAGAGUAGCAACCUUAAAGUAUUUCUAAAACUCUAAAUUACUUCCCCAGUGUAAGGAAUUAACAACUAAUGGGAUUUGCUAUGUCUUACGGUAUGAAUAAAUAUAUGGAGCUUUUUCUGAGGAAUUAGAUCUUGUAAGCCAUGUGUUUCUCUGAUUUUUAUAUCUUUCAUGUUUGUCAUAAAAACUCAGAGAAUAUUAUACCUACCUCUGAGGACACGUUUUCUUUGUCUCUUAAAUGUCUACAUUCAUAUUUCACUUACAGCACUUUUGAAAAACAUUGCCUUCAGCUAUCUGAGAGCUGAAGCCUUCUUUGCAGCUACAGCAGAGGAGCAGCUGCAAUAGCAGUAAUGGAAGUAUGCAUUCCAGUCCUCCUCAUCAGAAGAAACCAUAUGCCAAAGCCCCCCACCCUCUUCCUUAAUUUUGAUGUGUCUUCCAAAGUUGUUAAUGAUACUGUUAUUUCUGAAAUGGAGGUUUUAGACUGUGAACACUGUUGAUUUGUUUUUACAAACUAUUUUUAUCUAAUAACAACUUCAGUAGUUGCCAAACUGCCCUAAAUUUGCACUGAGUUCAGAUGACCAACAGCAAAGCAUCUCAGGUGAUGCUCACGUGACUCUAAGUCUCUGUCCUUAAAAGAAAAGGUAAUGUCAUCUAAGUUCUAGCUUAAGCACGUGUGUCAGUGGCAGAUGUUCUUGGCAAUUGUUAAAUGAGCUCCAGAUGGCAGCUUAGAAGUUUGACCUUAAACAUUUUCUAACCUUCAGCUGUAAUUUUUAAAUGAAGAAAUGUGUAGAUGCAUAGCUUGUUCAGUUUUUCUCCUGGAUUCAGACAGAAGAUAAGAUGAUGAGGUUCAUUAAGAAGAUGGAUGAUGAUAUUAUCUUGUCUUGAAUUCAUCGCAAGUGAAGUUUGAAGGAAUCAUCUGUUCAC
ensembl:lncRNA